CCGGGCACGGCGGGCCCCGGCCCGGCGCCCCGGCCCCGGCGCGGCCGCUCCGGCAUCUCCCGCGGCUACGCGGCGGCGCGGCCGGGCCGCCCGAGGGGGCUGCGCCCGCCCCGGCCCCCCUGCGCCCGCCGCCCCGCCGCGGCCAUCCCCGCGAUCGGGCGGCGGCGGCUCCGCGCUGCCUCCGCGGGAAGUGCCGGGGCAGCGGCGGCUGCGUCGCUAUUUAAGGGGCCGCCUGACGUCAGCGCCUCCUGGAGCCCCCGCGGCCGCUCGGCGGCCGGUGCCUCCCCCGGGCCGGGCCGGAGGUACCGCUGCGCAGAGCCCUUCCUCCCUGGACCGGGCUUCCACGGGGCUGGGGCGGUCCCGCUGCCCGCCGAGUCCUGCCCUGCCCGGCCCCGGUGCCGGUGCGAUCGUCCCGUCCCCGGUCCCGCUGUCCUGCCUGGCCCUGCCCCGCUCUGCCCCGCAGCUAGCCCUGAACCGCUCGAAGCAGCGGUGUGGAGCCGGGGGCACCUCCCUGGGUCGGAAGCGGCGCCUCCCGCAGCCGCGCAACCUCCGCCCGGGACCGGGAACCAGCACCAGAAUGGUGUGAGCAGCCCUCGCCAGGGAGCGGCAGCCGGGGCUCGGGGCUGCGAGGGUCACGGCCGGUUCCCGGGAUGCCCCAGCCCGGUGCCAGAACGGCGCUGCCCGAACCAUCAGCCCACGGGGGGAGCGCGGCGGGGCCGCCCCACGGUAGCAGUCGCUUCUGUCCUCGGCAAGGGCAGGAGGAGCAGCCAUCGGCCGCCGCGGUGCCGCCGGCAAAGAACUUUCUUGACUGUUGGUCAUCACAAACCAGGACAAAGUCAAAUUCUUGUGUAUCUUGUGGAUGGGGCAGUUGAGGAGAAGAGAGUGGCAAAGAUGGACUGAGUGGUCUCACUUGCCCCUUCCCACCUCUUACCUGUCUGGUCCCAGAGCAGGAGGAGCAUACACCAGUGGCACUGGAGCACUCGGUGAUGCCAGGGUCCAGUGCAACAAAGCAGUUGCAGUGACAGAGGCCACUGCUUCAGCAUCAAACCAAGUCCCUGCAAGGUGCCACAGUCACUGUGGAAGGCUGAAGCCUGAGGCUGGGCUCCAUCCCCGUGCUGACUCACGACAACCCACACCGACCUGCACUGACUCACCCAACAGAGCUGCUGAGCCCUUGGUUCCCUUGGUGACAGUGUGAGAACCAGAGCCCCAUGGGCAGAAAGGGGUCACUGGAGGCCAGAUGGGGACUUUCCUGGGACACAACUUUGCUCUAAGGGAAAUGGAACAUGAAUGCAGCAGCAGUGGUGUGGCUCUGCCCACUGGAUUUGCCAAGCCAAGGCAGUGGAAAAGUGGGAAGCAAAGGACAGGUAACCCACAGGACCCAUUGGAAUGAAACACUGACAACUCAAAUCCAGCAAUUUCAAAAGGCAUCCAUCAUGGCAGAGCAGUCUGACCUCUGGCCCCAGCCAAGGCCACUUAUUCAUGAGCCAUCACCAGGUAUAAGCACAGCCCGUUAAUAACGCACCUAUCGAUUGGCUCCUGUGCUGCUCCGGCUGGGCUCAGAUCGAUGGUCCUGCCUAAGUACACGCACCACAAAACUUCCAAGAAAUACCACCCCAACACUUUAACGCAGCACUGGGCUGUCACUUCCUCAAUUUAUUAAUUGACAAAACUCCCAUCACACCCACUUCCAGCCUGGCUCUUCCCUCUCCAGCAGAGACCCCCUGUCUCCUGUGGGAGCAGGAUGCUGCCCCCAAGCCCAGCCUUGGCUUAACUCAGGGGACAGGAGCCCACUGACCACUGACACUGAGCCUGGGGUCGUGGAGUGGAGGAGGACUGGGGAGCAGGGACGCAUCAGUGGGCGCAGCACAUGUGACACACUCAAAAAUGCAUGCACCCGGCUGUGGCGCGGGGUGUGGAUAACAUUAGCUCUAUGGGCCACAUUGCUCAACAGUUUAUUUCAGGGCUGUUAAACACUGUUUUGCAUAUUUAUUAAAUUGAAGACAGUUUAUGCCUGCAAUUACUCCGCCUGACAAGCAGCCGCCAGCAGCUGGAAGCAGCAUCUGACUCACAGCACUUGGGUAUUACCCUGAGAUGAUGCUGCUCCGGCCGCUCGGCAGCAGCCAGGAGCACUCAGCCCUUCAGUACGAUGGCUGAAGGGAAGAUUUAGGAGAAAACGAUCAUGAUGCUCCCGGCCCCAGGGCUCUGCAUUCCACAUACCCAACAUGGCACCUCUGAUGGAUGAGUCCCGCACUUCACUCCAAUCUGCUCAGAGUUAGGCAGUGGCAAUCAUUUUUUUCAAGCCCUGUCAUAUAUAAAAGCAAUUGAGUCAGCAGGCACCAGUUGUCUGGCACAAGGAGAGAUUAUAUUUUUACAAGGUUUUGCAGAAGGUCUAUAAAAGUUUGUUCUUUCUUUAAAAAAUAAAUAUAUAUUUGACAACGCCUCUCUGGAAAAAAAUGGAAAAAAUUAAACUUGCAAAUUGAAACAUUAUGUCUGCAAGAGAUGUGCUUAAAGACC
rnacentral:lncRNA from 1 species